AAUAGAAGGAACCCCAUGAGAAGCAACCCGAUGACAAAGACUAAGGCGGUUGUGAAUUGGGGCAAAGUGGAUAAAAUUUCUAGGGAUUCUUCCAUUCUCAAAACAAGAUAAAGCUUAGCCUCCCAAUUAGUACGUUCAGCUCAGCUUGCGGUGUUUUACUGAUUCUAGAUUAGACAGGGGCAAGAGAGACAAUGGCUAGUGGGGCACCAAAGAUAGUAUGGAGUGAGAGAGUAGGAAGGUUCGAAACAGAGGACAAGGAAGCCUAUUUGGAGUACGAGCUGAGAGACGGAGGCAGAGUAAUGGACAUUCUCCACACUUAUGUCCCUCGUACCAAGCGUGGAUUAGGGCUUGCUUCUCAUCUCUGUAUUGCCGCCUUUUCACACGCCCAAUCACAUUCCCUUUCCGUCAUUCCCACCUGCUCUUACGUCUCUGACACAUUCCUUCCACGGAAUCCAUCUUGGAAUUCCAUUGUGCACAAACAAGACCUCAAAUCUCACAUUUGAAGCAGAAUGUGCGAGUGUCACUCUAUCUGCCAAUCCACUCCUUGAAGGUUAGGCAAGCAAACUCACUCACUCUGGAUUCUGUUUUUUUUUCCUAGUAUUUGUAGAGUUGAGAGUGUAUUGCUAUCUGUAAUAUGUGACAUCUUUCCUAGAAAUUGGAUCUGUUUCCUCACUUUCCCGUUUCGAUUGAAAAAUUAAAUCCACAAGGAACUGUUUGCUA